rnacentral:rRNA from 1 species
GACGAACGCUGGCGGCGUGCUUAACACAUGCAAGUCGAACGAAGAGCGAUGGAAGCUUGCUUCUAUCAAUCUUAGUGGCGAACGGGUGAGUAACGCGUAAUCAACCUGCCCUUCAGAGGGGGACAACAGUUGGAAACGACUGCUAAUACCGCAUACGAUCUAAUCUCGGCAUCGAGGAAAGAUGAAAGGUGGCCUCUAUUUAUAAGCUAUCACUGAAGGAGGGGAUUGCGUCUGAUUAGCUAGUUGGAGGGGUAACGGCCCACCAAGGCGAUGAUCAGUAGCCGGUCUGAGAGGAUGAACGGCCACAUUGGGACUGAGACACGGCCCAGACUCCUACGGGAGGCAGCAGUGGGGAAUCUUCCGCAAUGGACGAAAGUCUGACGGAGCAACGCCGCGUGAGUGAUGACGGCCUUCGGGUUGUAAAGCUCUGUUAAUCGGGACGAAAGGCCUUCUUGCGAACAGUUAGAAGGAUUGACGUACCGGAAUAGAAAGCCAC